GGGGGUAAAUAUGGAGUAACAGGUGAACUUGUGUCUGUAUUUAUAUGUGUCCCAUGUCUGCUUUGUCUUGCUAUUGCCCUAAAGUAAACUGCACUGUGCUUUGCAAAAGUGAGCAUAGCUGCCUGGUUGUGUCAUUAUUUUUCUGGAAGUACUAUGCCACAGUACUGAGCUUAAAUCAGAUCAGUUAGAUAUUUACUGCCUUCAAAACCUGCUGAAGGUGAGACAGAUGGAUACGUGUGAGGGAUGGAGGCCAUGGUGGUGUUAGAAAUGUAAUUAACUUAUAGAUGUGGCAGACUUAUUUCAGAGAAUUUUUUAUUUCACUGAUUUGACCAAGUUGUGUAUUUGGCCUUUCAGAAUACAUUUGUUUCUCAACAAAGCUUGGGAAGUUCAGAGAUAUGGAAGACUGCAUCCUUUUUCCUCAUUAAAUAUGCUAUUUUAAUAACAUUUUUGUAAAAGUUUGGGCAUUUUCCAGCCCCUUCCGCAGCUUCCUGAAGGGACCCCAAUGUUUAUGUAAAUAAUGACUUUUGUCCACGUGAUGUGGAGCUUAAUCAAAAAUUUUCUGAUCUCAGUACCUCCCAUUCUUAUCUUCAUAGUCAUCCUGCAGGUCCCAUGUUACCAUACCUGCCAAGCAGCUUUUUCAGGGGUUUAAAUGUAGACAUACUUGAAAUUUUAUUUUUAAAUUCUUCAGAUGAUCUUUCAUUUCAAAACAAGCUGGACAUUCUUCAAGACUAGAUCUUCCCCCUGCUCAACCCAACCCCCCCCUUUUUUUAAUUAACCUCUUCUCAACAGAAGAAAAGCAUACUGCACCCCACUUUGAAAGCUCUUUGAUAACGUUUGUGAGGAAAUCAGUGUUUCUUAUUUGUGAGUCAGCUUGUCUUCAAAGAUACAGAAGAACAUUUCAGAACACCCCAUACUGUGCUUCGGACAACAGGUCUGGUUUGAUUGCUGAUCAGGCAAGGUGUCCUCAGACUGCUACAAAACCAGAGUCAGGGGAAAAUGAAACUGAUCUUUGUUUUCACUCAUUGUAAACUGGAGUUGCUCUGUGAAAGCCUCGGGAUCGUGAGCAAUUUACAACAGCUGAGGACCUAUGUUGGAAAGAAGACAAGUUUACUGUAACCUGAGGUACCCCACGGGGAAAGAAUGAAAACUGUCAGCAAUUUUCACCUCUUCCUGCAAGGGAUGACUGCUGGCGACCCCAACUCACAGCUGCUUUGGCUCUUCCACAGCUGCUUCACAUCCAGUAUUCCAGCUUCUUGUUGUGGUUUUUUUUUUUAAUACCCCAGGCAUUUUGCAAGAGCUGUCUCAGUGGACACGUCAGUCCCAAAGCGAUGGCACAACCAGCUGAGCCCUCUUCUGCAUGGUCUGUCUGAGCUAGUGAGCCAGGCUCACUUCACCUGGCAGUCAGUCUUGCAGUAGUGGCAAUUUAUUUUCAGAAAGUAAGUGCAUGUUCCAGGCAGCCGUCCUAGUAUCCUCAGGAGUUAGCCUCCGAUCGAAUAUGAAUAGUUCCAGCUAGAGGAGCCUUACUUAGAACUAAGGCCCCUGUCUAUAAGUAUCUUGCCAAACACUGCAACUUUUUGUUGCUUCUUUUCAGAACAAGUGUCUUAUAAAAUGCAAUAUGCAUGAGAAAAGGAGAGAGAUGAAAGCAGAAUUGUAAAGAAGGAGGAGGUCCUCAAAGUCCCCGUGGUGACGUAGAGGGGAAUUUACAAGGUCAUGUUGAGCCUGCUUAAAAAUGUGCUGAUGUGGAGAGCAUGAUGGGAAUUCUCAGAGCCAACUGGGGAUUGAGUCACUUGUCCAUGCCUGCUGCUGCAUCCGCCUGUGACUAAUGUUAGCAGCUCACCUUUUUCUUUGUUUUAAGCAGCUGAUGCGACCGAUGCUGACUCAACUCCAGAGGCUGGAAACGUAAGCCAGAUUGAAGCCAGAGGUGAUCUUGUUUCGAUGCAUGGGGUUUUAUUUUUCAUUGUUUGAUUAGGAUCACAGACAUAUCAAAGGCAUUGGAGAAAAAAAAGGCGUAUUUUUUGCCCUUCACCAAAGGUCUUUGGGAAUUUCAGCUCUACCUAGGGCAGGGGGGAGGUGGUGAAGAUGAGCCGGUUCAUUUCCCUCCCCCUCAGCCUCUCCUUCCCCAUCCUUACGUUAGCUUGAGCCUUUCUAUAGGGAAAAGAUAGGGGAAGGUGACUGGGACAGAUGAACGUGGUGUUAGUUAUGUCAGCUGCUCUUGGAAUUGGAGCUGAGGAAUCCGCCUACUGAGAAAUACAGCCAGAAAAUAAUCUGUCCCAAAGAGUUACUGCAGUCUCUGCAUAGGGCACCUGAAGAAUCUUUUGAAGGGCGUCUUUUUUCUUAUUACAGUAAUAUUUUUCAGGUUCACAAGGUGAGCACUGUAUAUGGGAUGCAGCUGGCUACAGUGAUUAAUGGCCCUUUCUGCUAAGAGUUCUUCCAAGAUCCUUUGGCUUUUCAUGUAUUCAGCAAAGCUUAUUUUCACUUAACUGUAGUCUCUCUUGGUGGCUUACUGUCCAUUUGGACCUUUAUGAUGUAUAUCUACAUGCUAGUUGAUCUCUGUUCAUGUCAAGGGAUCUGAGUAUGUCUCUCUCAAAUAUUCCUCGUAUGGUGCUUUCUGUCCUUGCUGCUCCGACUGAGAUUCCAGAUGCCAGUUAUGGGGAGAAGAGGCUCUGUUCAGGACAUGAGCACCAACUCAGAUGUCUUUUAAAGAAGAAACUGUUGCUGAAGCUGUGGUGGCUGGAGGAUGUCUUUUGGAUUAAGAGGUUGAUUCUAUAUGGUGGGUGAUGGAGUCAGCAGAUUGGGCAUCAAUACUGGCACCUUCUUGCUGCUACAAAGAGUCUCUCUAGCAAGGUAGUUGUCAAGAGGUAACUCAAACUCUGUUGCCUUUGUAUCAUAGGAUCAUGGAAUGGCUUGGGUUGGAAGGGACCUCAAAGAUCAUCAAGCUCCAGCUCCCCAGUAUCCACACACCGUGGUCCCUGGUCACAGCUUUUUAUUUGUUUGGUGGCACAAGAGAGGUGAUGGAAAACCAGAGCUAAAGACUCCCCUCCCUGCUGGCAACACUGCUACCCCAUCGCAUGGACAUUACUUGCUGUCCUCUUUCCUCUCUGGCUGUUCCCCACAAUAGCACUGCCUGCCCUCUCAUGCUGUGUUUCCUCCUUUUCAGGACUCCAUGGGUUGCUCCAGGCCAAGUUCUCUGUCUUGCUUUAUUCCUGGCCAUCUCACUCACCUGCCCCAGAGCUUGACUCUGGCUGAUGAGUGUCUGCCUCUUCUUAUCCUCAGAACAUCUUGUGUCUGGUGCAUGCAAACCUCUGCUGAAACUUAUGUUUCCUAACUCGUUUCCUAAGUUGUUUCUUCUCCCCUUGGAUAUUAUCGUUAAGAUGGCUGCCAUACCACAUCUGUUUCAAUGCGCAAUGCAAUUACCAGGUUUGGUGAAAGCAGUGUUUGUGAGUGCUCACAGUGAUCUAUGAUAAUCCUAUGUAACCACACAAAAGAGCCUCAAAUACAGUUUCUGCAAAAGUGUCUGAUUGAGAGAUAAUGAAUUUGGUGCUAAAUUGCCUUUGAUUUGAUGCUGUUAAGACUAAGAAGGAAACUACUGUCUCUGCUACCUGUCUCGAUUUAUCUUUUGACCCUCUGCAUGACCUUCAGGGUAACAUCUGAGCUUCUUGCACUGCAGCCCAGCCUUCAUUUGGGGGUGACUGCUAUGACACUGUCUGAAAAGUUUAAGCUUGUGAUGUUGUUGCCUUUGCUUCAAGAAACAGAGUGAAUUAACUGUAAAUUGUUACAAGAUAUGAGCUUUGCACCUUUUUCCAAUCAAGGGUUUCAUUUGUAGCGUAUGUAGUGUUUGUGAUGAUAGCUGGGGGAUCUCUUUUUUCACACAGAGGGUGGUGACGCACUGGAACAGGUUGCCCAGGGAGGUUGUGGAUGCCCCAUCCCUGGAGGCAUUCAAGGCCAGGAUGAAUGUGGCUCUGAGCAGCCUGGUCUGGUGGUUGGUGACCCUGCACAUAGCAGGGGGGUUGAAACUCGAUGAUCAUUGUGGUCCUUUUCAACCCAGGCCAUUCUGUGAUUCUACGAUUAUUCUGGAACUGUGCUAGUGUGUGUCUGGCAUAGAUACAGCAAGUGCACUUGUGUUUGAUAUUUGUAUGGAGGGGGAAGCUGGAGGAAGUUAAAGUCAAGUCAGGUCAGAGGAAAUUUACAAAAAAGUGGGGAAGACCCUCUGUCUCCUUCAAAUCCCACCUUACAGACUCCAGUGCUGCUGUAUUUGUUACUGGUGAUGGUGACAAAGCCAGGGGGAUGAGGUGGUUCAGAGCUUUUCAUCCCACUUCUCUCGCUUCUUUUCAGAAAAGACUGAGACUGAAUCAGGCAGAAAAAAAAGAUGGAUUUGCAAACAUUUGGCAGCCUUUGAAACCAGAGUGUGAUUUUUCUAUGUGCACGCACCUUUUCAGAGGUCAUUGUUGUGCGACAGGGAGGUAUUGCUCAUGCAAACUGGGAUGGCAAUUUCAGCCCAAUGGCUGGAAUUCACAUAACUGUCAAAGUAAACGAGUCUGGAGCACAAGCAACAGUGGUUUCAGAAGGUUAAAUCAGGAAGUAAACACCACUACGUGCUUUAGGCUUUAAAUUGUGAAUCAUGAAUGUCAAACACUUGAAGGUAUCAGCACAGCUAUUUAUCACAAAACAAACAACUUAACUCACUGAAUGCAUUUACAGAGGUCUUGUUCUUCUCCCACGCUUGGCUUCCUGGCAGACUCAGAAGUACUUUUGUAAGGAAGGACUCCUCUGCUACAGAAUGGAGGGAUGUGAAAUGGCUGACACUGAAUGCAGAUGGAGAGAUGGAAUCUAUCAAAGUACAGUUUGGAAUUAAGAGCAGAACAAGCACUUCCAGCCCAGCCCUAACACCCGCUGUUAUGCCUGAUUGCUGUUUCUCUGGGACUCCAUGGGAGAUGAGGAGCUGUCAACUAUCUGCUUGGAUGCCCAUUUGCUGAUGUGUGGACCUGGCCAUAACACAAGUCACUCCACCUUAUCACAAGCUGUUGGAAAGCUUUUGGCUGUGGCCAAUCUCAGAAAAGAGCAGGUAGAGAAUUGGCCAGUGGGGAAAGAAAAAAAAAAAACUGUAAAAAAAGACUGAAAAGUUAGGUUGUAAGGAACGGAAAAGUGAAAUGGAUGUGUGUGUGAAAACUGCACUCUACAAUUCUGACUCAGUGCUCUGCUGAUUACAAUACCUAGAUCCAUAUUCAUACCCAGUGUUGUUUAUUAGAUCUACUUGUGCCAGGCUGUUGGUAAGAUGGUAGAAGGAGGAGUUGCUUUUCUGUUGUUUGAGAUGCUUGCUUACCUUUAGCUUAAGGAAAAUAAAUAUGUUUUAUGGAAAGGCAUAUACAGAAUUAAUUACCAAAGGGGGAAGAGAAAGAUGGAUGAUGAAUACAGUACAAGAAGAGGAGUAUCUGGCAGAUGCAGAGUGUUGGUCAAUUUGUGCUCUCAAGUAGUUGCUGAGAUGUCAACGGAGGAAGGAAAGGAGGGAACUUAGCUUCAGGAUUGUGCAUAAAAUAUUAAGGCUGCCCUAUAACCUUCUUCUAUCCAUUUCCUCCAAAAUGAAAGUCUGAGUGGUUUGCAAAAUCCUUUCAAAUGAGUCUACCCUAGUUGAAAGACUCAGAAGUGCAGUGUGACAGGCUCUGAAUAGCAGUAGGCACCAUACGUACCACUUGCUAUUCUUUGUGUAUGUGCUGUGCAUGCAUACGGUCAGCAAUGAAACAUGUGGAUGGUAAAUGAAUGAAAAGCAGCCCAUGAAUUUGCUCUUUUUGUUUGUUUGUUUUCACAAACAAGGCAAGUAUUUUUAUGCAAAACUUGCACGUAUCUCAUGAGUGUGAGAAAUAAUAACAUGGAGCAUUUGAAGGCAGUGUGUGUAUUGCCUUGAUAAUUUUACUCUUUUUUUUUUUUAGGGAGAGCAAUUAUUUUUCUUCUUAAAAAAGGAGAGAGAAAACCCAGAACAUAAUAACUGCAAUUGUUUCUUAAACAAUCACAACUGCUUGGAAGGAGACCUCAAAAUGAAUCUAUAUCAGUAUUUUUUGAACAUGAAUUCUAAUGUUGGGUAGAGGAUGUUAGGCAGGGACUGAACUGUGGGUAAGGAUGGCUGGGUCUUCAGUUUCUUAAAUAUAGUUGCAGGCUGGUCCUUUGCUGGGGAGCAGGGCAGCUGACAUCCUUGGGUGGCAUCUGGCUGGGGAGCCAGCCUCUGGGAACGACCAAAAGAGGCAGUAUCCUAGGGAAGUAUCAGGAACCUUGGGUAGACAUCAGUCUAUCUGUAUUCUGGUCCUUGCAAGGUCCCUUCUAUUCUUGGACAUUAACUUCACCCCUCAUGAGAGGGGUCCUCUUCCCCCUUCCUUUCAGCCUCACACAGCGGCUCACAGUGCUUACCAUAGAGUCACAGAAUCAAUAAGGUAGGAAAAGACCACCAAGAUCACCUAGUCCAAUCACAAACCCACCCCCACCAUGCCCACUACCAAGUCCCUCAGUGCCACAUUUACAAGUUUCUUGAACACCUCCAGGGUUGGUGACUCUACCACCUCUCUGGGCUGCCCUGUCCAGUGCCUCACCACUCUUUAUGAGAAGAAAUUUUCCCUAACAUCCAAACUGAACCUCUGCUGACACAACUUAAGGCUAUCACCUCUUGUCCUAUUGCUGUUACCUCAGAGAAGAGGCUGAUGUCUGCCUCACCACAGCCUCCUUUCAGAUAGUUGUAGAGAGUGAUAAGGUCUUCCCUGAGCCUUCUCUGCUCCAGGCUAAACAAUGCCAGUUCCUUCACAUACCCCUCGUAAGACUUGUACUCCAGACCCUUCACACCCCUAAGAAGGAGUUCUCCUACCACCCUCUGCAGGAAUUGAUUAUUACUUUAUGGUGAGUGGCAGCAGAAGUACUGCUACUCUUUCCUUGUACAGAGCAAGUAACUUCCAGAGGAAAGUCAGUCAGUAUCACUCAUUUCACCCUUUAGGAAAAUAGGAUCCCAGAAUCCCAGAGAAGGUGUGUGCCUUGCCUCUUUCCUCACCACCAGCUCAUGUUAUCCAUCAGUGGUGCCUGGCACAUCGCAACAGGGGAAUUGUUACUGAAGCCUGCAUGGCUGGCUGCUCCCAGUGCAUCAGCACACUCCCCCUGUACUCAUAGAGACUGACGGAUGCACACCCUGUUGCAUGUUAUUGCUCUCUUAAUGCACUGCAAUUUUUCCCCCAAUAUCCUAACCGAGAAUGAUCGUUACUGUUGAACAUUCUUUUUCCAUUUGCUGCAACCCA
ensembl:lncRNA